AUGGAGCCGCCGCCGGAGCCAUCCACCCCUCGCCGGCUCGCCGUCGCCGACCUCCUCCGCCUCCGCCGCCCCACCACUGGUGCAUCCUCCCUCAUUUCCCCCUCCCCCUCUCAUUCCCCCGCCGCCUCCACCUCACAGCCCCGCAAAAAGCCUAAGCUCUCCGCCGCGAAUCCUGGCCCUACCACCGCCCCCUUCGCGCCAAUCCCACACCCCGUCCUCCUUGCCGGCACCCUCUCCCUCCCUUCCUCCGCCGCGGACUGCCGCAACCACUGCCUGUCCCUCUCCGACCCUUCAUCCGCCGCCUCUGUCUGCUGCUACCUCCUCGAUUUCGACCCCGCCGCCAUCGGUCGCGAGAUCCUCGUUCUCGCCUGGAACUACCUUCCCUCCGUCCGCCAGCACGAAGCCGCCGUGCUCGAGGCAGUCCGAUGGCGCCUGGCAGAGGCGCCCGGUCCGGUCCAUGCCCCUGGCUUCCUGGCAGCGAUCCCGCUUAAUUCCGUGGACGCGGAGCCUGCUUUACCCACCCGCGGCCGCGUUUUUGGGAUGGUGAGGUCGGUGAGCGUGGUAUUCAGUGUGCCGCAUGCCACACAGAAGAGUGACUUGGUCGGGUUUAUAGCGGAGAUGAUGUGCUGUGGGUGCCGGCAGUGCAAGCUCUCACAGCCAGAAUCUGACCGCGGUCACAAGUUUGAGAUGGAGAAGUUUGUAUACUUUGUGGAUUUGGCAAGCAGGUGGCGGCCCGUGCUGGCGCGACUGAUUGGCAGGCCGGUUUCUGUCACGGGCCUGAAGAAAAAAAUGGUCUCCGUUGGGAAGAAGGGCUCGUACACCAUGUUGGUGUCAUCAACGGCAACAAUGGUGUCAUGGUGCCCAUCCUAUGUGGGCGUUCCACCAUUGGAUGAGUUGCCAGGGAAGUGCAGUGGAGUGUACACUGGGGUAGUCUCUGGAAUCCACAUGCAGGGUAUGUUGGUUGAGCUGGAUGAGACAGUGUGGCUGCUAAUUGAUGAUAACCGGCUUGUGCCGUCACAUUCUCUUCGAGUUGGUGCUGUUAUUUCUGUGAAGAAAUUCCGAGUGGUUCGUCUAAAUUUUGCUUGGACGACAGUUGUUCUACUUGAAACAUGCAGUAAAACUAGCAUUACUAUAAAUGCUUUCUCUGUGGUGGACUCGAAAUGUCAUACAAGGUCAGAGAAUAAUGGUCUUUUGUGCAAGUCUGUUAACUUUUUGGAGCUGCCCGGUAAAUUUUGGAUGUUACUUCUGACAUCAUGCUUUAGACAGAAAUUCAAGUUAGAUUCCAAGAAAGAGAUCUGGGGGUCAAAAAAUAAGCAAGGAUUGGUUCACACCUAUGCUGCUAAAGUUCCCUCUUCAAAGGAUUUCAAACCUCAGCAUGAUUUCCUUAUGAAAUUCUGCAAUCAUGAUUGUGGCGGUUCAAGCACAGGAUCAAAAUUGGAAGCUUGUAAAUUGGCAAUACCCUUUGCCAAUUUUAUCUGCAAGGUGGAAUCAUUGUGGAUAUCAAUGAUGCUCAGAUUUUGGAAUGACACGGAAGAGCUGGGCAAGAACCUGAGAUCUAACCAGUUUCUAUGUGGUGGGGUUUCCCAUCCUGGUACCAGCAGAAGGAUAAUUUCAACUGGCGAUCUGGGCCUUGUAUUAGUGGGAUGCAUGAAGAUGUCCUCACUGCCAUUGAGGCUGCAGCUGGUUGAUGACACAGGAUGUAUAGAUGUUAUUAUACCUGAUCUUCCGCCAAAUGUUUACAUGAAUGGCAUCUAUGAGAUAAAUGAUUGCAAAUUAGUCCUUGAAGGCCCAGUGGCAUACCUAGAUCAUUAUGGUGUCGCUGAUCCACUAUCCUGUAAGGCUGUGUUUCAGCAGCUCUCAUACCGAAAAAGAGUGCAUCAUCUCAAGAUCUACCUUAUAGUCCACUGGAGUGAAUUAAACCACAUUGGCCCUCCCUCCCGAAUUCCUUUGCAAACUAAUAACUCCGCCAGGCUGUUCCACCUUCUGAAAGUGUCGCACAUUUUCCCCUCAGUCAAUAAUUUUCAGCAUAAGAACAUGCCAGGGUCUGGCCUGUAUGCUGAGGGUGUGAUAGUGCCAUACAAUUUAAAAUUUGCUGAUCAAGAUGCCGAGAGCUUUAAAAUCGCAAGCACUCGUUCAUGUUCUGAUUCGAAAGUGUCUAUGGAGAAACCAUGUCACAUUCCAUGCUCCCUAAGCUUCAGAACUACCAGUCUUUCUGGCAAUCUUGUGUCUAGCUAUCCCUGUGGGUCAGAUGGUACUGUUCUAAUUGAUACCGUUGGUGAAGAACGAGGUUGCCCAUCAAGGAUCUUAUUGGAGUUCAAGGAGGGAUGUUCGUUUAAGUACCAGUUUCUGCGGAUUGGUGGCUACUAUCUUCUCGAAUGCCCCACUGAUAGUUUAAGGUUUGCCAUGAAAGGCUGUGGAUGUUUCCAAGGUGGUAAAAUUUCACUGGAUUCUCAAGAUAAAAUUUGGAGCCUUGCCAUUACCUUUAAUGGCAAUAUAAACGUCAAGCAGGGUAUCGUAGAUCAGUCUAUCGGGGUUUCUUCAUUGCGGGUGGAUGAGCCAUUAUCCAAAAAUACCUUCCACAAUGAGAUAAAAUUACUACAGUCGUGGUGGAAUGACUUUUGUCAAUAUUCGGAUUUUCAUUUGAAUUUUUAUUGUGAAGCAGUGAGUGAAAAGAUGAAAGUAUAUGACAUCAUGUGUUAUGUAUUGAAUGGAUUGGGCUCUUACUCAAUUGAAGUUAUUAGUGUCUCUUCAUGCAUUGAGAUUAUGAUGCAUAAAAAGUCUUUUGGUUCUUCUAACUUGCAAAGUCAAAAACUUGUUCAAGGAGAUCUAAUAUCAUUACAUGGGAAAGUGGAAAAUAUCCAUUCGCAUGACUCUAAGGAGCGAAGACUUGUGCCUGGUAACGACAAGCGAAGUAUAUGUAUCCAUGUUGCUGAUGAUAAUCAAAUGGUGCGUCUCUCUGGAUACUUAAGCAAACAUUGUUAUCCCAUUGGCAUAGGACCAGGGGCAGCAGUGACAUUCCACCGCGUCCUCUUGACACACCGUGAAGUACUUUUAACCCCAGUAACAUACAUUGAAGUUACAUCCAUUGGUCACAUUGAAGUGAAUAGAGAACGAGCCACUUCCCCACUCAUGCCUGGUGGCUUAAAGGAUGAUUCACUGAGCACAGUUUCAUUUUGUCUGCUCUCACACCACAAGCAUUUUAAAGACUGUACGCCCAUGCGAUUCCACUGCAGGGUAGUUACUGUCCAUUUCUUGGUGUUGGACAGUUGUUUAAAUGAUUCUCAAAUUUCGGAAUCAGUUAACCAGGGUAAAAUACCAAAAGCAAAAGUUCCACUAGCUGGGUUUAUUGUUGAUAAUGGAACAUCUUUGUGCUGUUGCUGGGCCGAUGAUGCAAGGGCUGAACUUUUGCUUAGGCUGCAGGAAAUUGCCAUUCUGGAUGCUUCUGUUAAUUUGAAGCGAUCAAAAGAUAGAAACAAUGCAAAGAUACAACGGACUCUUGGUUCUUGCCUAGAAAAAAUGUUGAAGAAGCACAAAAAAGUUAUUGUGAAGAACUAUGGAGUUCCUCCCGACAUCUCUUGUCGAGACUUGGAAUUAUUAUCUGAUGUUGGUAAUGUCUUAAGUAGCCUGGAAGAGGAACUUUUGAAAUUUAUCGUCCUCAAUGCCUGUCGGAAUGGAACUCUGAAUGUUAUCGCAUCAGCCCUUGAUGCAAGUGCAAUAAAUGGAUCAAAUGUGGAGCUUCCUGAUGUAUAUCCAGCGCACAACAUGCAGAAUUUCUGGGUUAAUGAAAUAGUUCAAGUGGAUCCUUUGGAAGAGGCCCGGAGACUGUAUGCCAGUUUGGAAAACAGAUGA
rnacentral:rRNA from 1 species